AUUGAACGCUGGCGGCAGGCCUAACACAUGCAAGUCGAACGAGUGGCGGACGGGUGAGUAAUGUAUGGGAAUCUGCCUGAGGGAUGGGGAUAGCUACUGGGAACUGUAGCUAAUACCGCAUACCAUCGGAUGUGCCCUGAUGGCAUUGGCUAGGAGGGGGGGUAACGGCGUACCUAGGCGACGAUCCCUCGCUGGUCUGAGAGGAUGACCAGCCACACUGGAACUGAGACACGGGCCAGACUCCUACGGGAGGCAGCAGUGGGGAAUAUUGCACAAUGGGCGAAAGCCUGAUGCAGCCAUGCCGCGUGUAUGAAGAAGGCCGUCGGGUUGUAAAGUACUUUCAGCGGGGAGGCGUUACCCGCAGAAGAAGCACCGGCUAACUCCGUGCCAGCAGCCGCGGUAAUAC
rnacentral:rRNA from 1 species